CUACCCGGAAGAAAGGACUAUGAAAUGAAACAGUAUUUAAUUUGAGGCUAGGAUGAAUGACAAAAAUACUAAAUAAAGGAAAGACUGAUGGUGGCUGCAAUAGCACGGGAGAGACUGACUCUUCAGAAGGAACAAAGUUAUAUGGAUUCCUACACAAAGGCCAGGGAUCAAUCGUAGGGCCUUUCACAAGCCAGCAAGCAUUCCACCACUGAGCCAUACCUCCACCCUUCACUAAUAACUUCCAGGACUGCCUCUGUUUUUUCCUGCCUGUGGCUCCAGCCUGACAGCUUUACAAUGAUUAAAAGCCUGGCUCCUGCUGUCACCAAACCAAGUGCUUCAGACUGAAAGCCAUGAGAACCCGAUCCUUUCACUUUUCAACAAACAUUUCUUGAGACGGAGGAAACACUAGUGAUUCAGAGAUGAGUAAUGCUGUUCUGUCCUUCGCAAAGUAAUUGGUGUAGGUUAGAGAGAACACAAGGCAAACGGCUCCCACGAGCAGAAUGAGUGGACUCAGACAAGAGGGAGAUGCCAGCUCUUUGAAGGGACUACAGAGACUUGCUGAAGCAGGAUCACUAAUGUGUGACAAGAAAAGUCAUCCUGGAGUGGCAAGAGGAAGUAUCGGGUGGAGAAUUGAGAAGAGUAUUCCAAGCAUAUGAAACAUGCUCAAGGAUAGAAAAGCAAUUAAAGAGCAUGGCUUGUCUGUGAAAUAGCAACAAUUCUGAGAGGGCAGGAGAAGAAUCUAAU